AGGAGAAUGAGAGGAGACAUGAUAGAGGUAUACAAGAUAUUAAGAGGAAUAAAUAGAAUGGACGGCCAGCACCUCUCCCCCAGGGCACCACUGCUCAAUACAAGAGGACAUGGCUUUAAGAUCAUUCUGCAACCACCACCACGUCCAGUGCUCUGAAGUAGCCAAUUCAAGUUUGUCAAACUUCAAAGUUCAAGAGAUUCGAUGUUUGAGACUUUGCACGUGAUACCGCAGCCUGGAACUGCUUGAAAAUCUGAACAUGAGCCAAGCACUUCUGAACCUAGUUCCUAAAAUGAUAAAAAUAAAUUUC